rnacentral:rRNA from 1 species
AUUGAACGCUGGCGGCAUGCCUUACACAUGCAAGUCGAACGGCAGCAUGAUCUAGCUUGCUAGAUUGAUGGCGAGUGGCGAACGGGUGAGUAAUACAUCGGAACGUGCCCUGUAGUGGGGGAUAACUAGUCAAAAGAUUAGCUAAUACCGCAUACGACCUGAGGGUGAAAGUGGGGGACCGCAAGGCCUCAUGCUAUAGGAGCGGCCGAUGUCUGAUUAGCUAGUUGGUGGGGUAAAGGCCCACCAAGGCGACGAUCAGUAGCUGGUCUGAGAGGACGAUCAGCCACACUGGGACUGAGACACGGCCCAGACUCCUACGGGAGGCAGCAGUGGGGAAUUUUGGACAAUGGGGGCAACCCUGAUCCAGCAAUGCCGCGUGUGUGAAGAAGGCCUUCGGGUUGUAAAGCACUUUUGUCCGGAAAGAAAUCGCACUUACUAAUAUUAGGUGUGGAUGACGGUACCGGAAGAAUAAGGACCGGCUAACUACGUGCCAGCAGCCGCGGUAAUACGUAGGGUCCAAGCGUUAAUCGGAAUUACUGGGCGUAAAGCGUGCGCAGGCGGUUGUGCAAGACCGAUGUGAAAUCCCCGGGCUUAACCUGGGAAUUGCAUUGGUGACUGCACGGCUAGAGUGUGUCAGAGGGGGGUAGAAUUCCACGUGUAGCAGUGAAAUGCGUAGAGAUGUGGAGGAAUACCGAUGGCGAAGGCAGCCCCCUGGGAUAACACUGACGCUCAUGCACGAAAGCGUGGGGAGCAAACAGGAUUAGAUACCCUGGUAGUCCACGCCCUAAACAAUGGUCACUAGGUUGUUGGGAAUCCAUUCCUUAGUAACGUAGCUAACGCGUGAAAUUGACCCCCUGGGGAGUACGGUCGCAAGAUUAAAACUCAAAGGAAUUGACGGGGACCCGCACAAGCGGUGGAUGAUGUGGAUUAAUUCGAUGCAACGCGAAAAACCUUACCUACCCUUGACAUGCCACUAACGAAGCAGAGAUGCAUUAGGUGCUCGAAAGCGAAAGUGGACACAGGUGCUGCAUGGCUGUCGUCAGCUCGUGUCGUGAGAUGUUGGGUUAAGUCCCGCAACGAGCGCAACCCUUGUCUCUAGUUGCUACGAAAGGGCACUCUAGAGAGACUGCCGGUGACAAACCGGAGGAAGGUGGGGAUGACGUCAAGUCCUCAUGGCCCUUAUGGGUAGGGCUUCACACGUCAUACAAUGGUGCAUACAGAGGGUUGCCAAGCCGCGAGGUGGAGCUAAUCCCAGAAAAUGCAUCGUAGUCCGGAUCGUAGUCUGCAACUCGACUACGUGAAGCUGGAAUCGCUAGUAAUCGCGGAUCAGCAUGCCCCCCUGAAGGCNUUCCCNNUUCU